GCUGACGUAGCUCAGAGGUAGAGCAGCGCACUCGUAAUGCGCAGGUCGAGGGUUCGAAUCCCUCCGUCAGCUCCA
rnacentral:tRNA from 1 species